AAAUUGAAGAGUUUGAUCAUGGCUCAGAUUGAACGCUGGCGGCAGGCCUAACACAUGCAAGUCGAACGGUAACAGGAAGCAGCUUGCUGCUUUGCUGACGAGUGGCGGACGGGUGAGUAAUGUCUGGGAAACUGCCUGAUGGAGGGGGAUAACUACUGGAAACGGUGGCUAAUACCGCAUAACGUCGAAAGACCAAAGAGGGGGACCUUCGGGCCUCUUGCCAUCAGAUGUGCCCAGAUGGGAUUAGCUUGUUGGUGAGGUAACGGCUCACCAAGGCGACGAUCCCUAGCUGGUCUGAGAGGAUGACCAGCCACACUGGAACUGAGACACGGUCCAGACUCCUACGGGAGGCAGCAGUGGGGAAUAUUGCACAAUGGGCGCAAGCCUGAUGCAGCCAUGCCGCGUGUAUGAAGAAGGCCUUCGGGUUGUAAAGUACUUUCAGCGGGGAGGAAGGGAGUAAGGUUAAUAACCUUAUU
rnacentral:rRNA from 1 species